UGGGGAAUCUUGCACAAUGGGCGAAAGCCUGAUGCAGCCAUGCCGCGUGUAUGAUGAAGGCCUUAGGGUCGUAAAAUACUUUCGCCUGGGACGAUAAUGACGGUACCAGGUAAAGAAGCCCCGGCUAACUUCGUGCCAGCAGCCGCGGUAAUACGAAGGGGGCUAGCGUUGUUCGGAAUUACUGGGCGUAAAGCGCGCGUAGGCGGACCACCAAGUUGGAUGUGAAAUCCCGACGCUCAACGUCGGAACUGCAUUCAAAACUGUUGGUCUAGAGGCUAGGAGAGGUCAGUGGAAUACCGAGUGUAGAGGUGAAAUUCGUAGAUAUUCGGUGGAACACCAGUGGCGAAGGCGACUGACUGGACUAGUACUGACGCUGAGGUGCGAAAGUGUGGGGAGCAAACAGGAUUAGAUACCCCCGUAGUCC
rnacentral:rRNA from 1 species